CCGACGGGUGAGUAACGCGUAUCCAACCUGCCGUCUACUCUUGGACAGCCUCUGAAAGGAAGAUUAAUACAAGAUGGCAUCAUGAGUCCGCAUGUUCACAUGAUUAAAGGUAUUCCGGUAGACGAUGGGGAUGCGUUCCAUUAGAUAGUAGGCGGGGUAACGGCCCACCUAGUCUUCGAUGGAUAGGGGUUCUGAGAGGAAGGUCCCCCACAUUGGAACUGAGACACGGUCCAA
rnacentral:rRNA from 1 species